rnacentral:rRNA from 1 species
CCUACGGGUGGCAGCAGUAGGGAAUCUUCCACAAUGGGCGAAAGCCUGAUGGAUCAACGCCGCGUGGGUGAAGAAGGUCUUCGGAUCGUAAAACCCUGUUGUUAGAGAAGAAAGUGUGUAAGAGUAACUGUUCACGUUUCGACGGUAUCUAACCAGAAAGCCACGGCUAACUACGUGCCAGCAGCCGCGGUAAUACGUAGGUGGCAAGCGUUAUCCGGAUUUAUUGGUCGUAAAGGGAACGCAGGCGGUCUUUUAAGUCUGAUGUGAAAGCCUUCGGCUUAACCGGGGGAGGGCAUUGGAAACUGGGAGAAUUGAGUGCAGAAGAGGAGAGUGGAACUGCAUGGGGAGCGGUGAAAUGCGGAGAGAUAUGGAAGAAAAACAGUGGCGAAAGCGGCUCUCUGGUCUGUAACUGACGCUGAGGUGCGAAAGCGUGGGUAGCAAACAGGAUUAGAUACCCUUGUAGUC